rnacentral:rRNA from 1 species
AGAGUUUGAUCCUGGCUCAGGACGAACGCUGGCGGCGUGCUUAACACAUGCAAGUCGAACGAUGAAGCCCAGCUUGCUGGGUGGAUCAGUGGCGAACGGGUGAGUAACACGUGAGUAACCUGCCCCUGACUCUGGGAUAAGCCCGGGAAACUGGGUCUAAUACCGGAUAUGACCAUGGGACGCAUGUCUUGUGGUGGAAAGAUUUAUCGGUUGGGGAUGGACUCGCGGCCUAUCAGCUUGUUGGUGAGGUAAUGGCUCACCAAGGCGACGACGGGUAGCCGGCCUGAGAGGGUGACCGGCCACACUGGGACUGAGACACGGCCCAGACUCCUACGGGAGGCAGCAGUGGGGAAUAUUGCACAAUGGGCGCAAGCCUGAUGCAGCGACGCCGCGUGAGGGAUGACGGCCUUCGGGUUGUAAACCUCUUUCAAUAGGGAAGAAGCGAGAGUGACGGUACCUGCAGAAGAAGCGCCGGCUAACUACGUGCCAGCAGCCGCGGUAAUACGUAGGGCGCAAGCGUUAUCCGGAUUUAUUGGGCGUAAAGAGCUCGUAGGCGGUUUGUCGCGUCUGCCGUGAAAGUCCGAGGCUCAACCUCGGAUCUGCGGUGGGUACGGGCAGACUAGAGUGAUGUAGGGGAGACUGGAACUCCUGGUGUAGCGGUGAAAUGCGCAGAUAUCAGGAGGAACACCGAUGGCGAAGGCAGGUCUCUGGGCAUUUACUGACGCUGAGGAGCGAAAGCAUGGGGAGCGAACAGGAUUAGAUACCCUGGUAGUCCAUGCCGUAAACGUUGGGCACUAGGUGUGGGGGACAUUCCACGUUUUCCGCGCCGUAGCUAACGCAUUAAGUGCCCCGCCUGGGGAGUACGGCCGCAAGGCUAAAACUCAAAGGAAUUGACGGGGACCCGCACAAGUAGCGGAGCAUGUGGUUUAAUUCGAAGCAACGCGAAGAACCUUACCUACACUUGACAUCCCUUGCAUUACUCUUAAUCGAGGAAAUCCCUUCGGGGACAAGGUGACAGGUGGUGCAUGGCUGUCGUCAGCUCGUGUCGUGAGAUGUUGGGUUAAGUCCCGCAACGAGCGCAACCCUUGUCGUUAGUUACUACCAUUAAGUUGAGGACUCUAGCGAGACUGCCUGGGUUAACCAGGAGGAAGGCGGGGAUGACGUCAAAUCAUCAUGCCCCUUAUGUGUAGGGCUACACACGUGCUACAAUGGCUGGUACAGAGAGAUGCAAUACCGCGAGGUGGAGCCAAACUUAAAAACCAGUCUCAGUUCGGAUUGUAGGCUGAAACUCGCCUACAUGAAGCUGGAGUUACUAGUAAUCGCGAAUCAGAAUGUCGCGGUGAAUACGUUCCCGGGCCUUGCACACACCGCCCGUCAAG